rnacentral:rRNA from 1 species
UACGAAGGGGGCUAGCGUUGCUCGGAAUCACUGGGCGUAAAGCGCACGUAGGCGGAUUGUUAAGUCAGGGGUGAAAUCCUGGAGCUCAACUCCAGAACUGCCUUUGAUACUGGCGAUCUUGAGUCCGGGAGAGGUGAGUGGAACUCCGAGUGUAGAGGUGAAAUUCGUAGAUAUUCGGAAGAACACCAGUGGCGAAGGCGGCUCACUGGACUGGUAUUGACGCUGAGGUGCGAAAGCGUGGGGAGCAAACAGG